rnacentral:rRNA from 1 species
AUGAAACAAACAGAGGUGACAAAAGGAGCAUUGGUUGUUGUUCCAAAGGGGCGCAAACAAUGGAAUCCUUGGGGGCAUGAUGCAUACCUGGAAUCAUCAUCCAGCAAGACUGAAAAGCUGGAGAGGCUAUUUGAUUCUUCAUGCAUGGUUGCUCUCAUGCUUGAUGUGAACUGCAAACAGCAAGGAAACAACGUCGAAAUCAACACUUCAAACAGUUUUGAUUACACCGAUUCAGCCUAUCAACAUACCUCUGCUGAAAGUACGUUUGUGCCGCUCAUGUCGUCCCAGUACAUACCAACUAUUCUCUCUAGCUGCUGUAAGCUGAGAGCCUGGACAGAGAGUGAAACGAUCAAAGAUACAAAGUUGAGGACUAACAAAACAAGAUCCUUGCUCAUAGCAAAAGGCACUUACCGGACAAAUAUCAUUGCGUAUCUCCCUCCAUGUCCUCAUUUGUUUUCGGGAAAUGACCUGAUGAAUAGGAAGACCAGGAAAAUAAGUCAGUUACCGACAGUUCAGUUUGUAUAA